ACUUCUAGCAGGUAAACUAUAAAAUGAGUUGUGCUGACAUUAGACCAAGAUAGUUUGUAAUUCACUACUGUUCAAAAAGGUCAACGAAUUUUGCUGGAAAGAUGAGGUGCAUAGCAAUGGUUGCUUUGAUUUGCACGGUAUUGGCGGCAAUGAUGUACUCAGCCAAUGCUCAAAUGCCGCAAAUGCCUCAAAUGCCUGGUGGCGGUGGCGGCGGUGCAAGUGGUGGUGCUGGUGGUGGUAUGGGUUUUGGCAUGGGCGCUAAUAUGGGAGGAGGAGCACAAGGCGGUGGUCAGGGUGGCUCUUAAUUUUUUCUUGUUAAAAUAUUUAAUGCAAUAAAACAGAGCAGUACAGAAAUAUA